CCCACAUGUACAUAGGAAGGCUUGCAGGUAAAUAAACCAUUUACAACCAAUUGUUCUAGUCAAUGGGAACCAUCAAGAUUUUAAAGCAUCAUUAAUGGCCCACACUGUGCAUAAUUACAAUAGGACCUCAGAGUGGUGAGCUGUAGC